UACGGAGGCUGCAAGCGUUAUCCGGAUUUAUUGGGUUUAAAGGGUGCGUAGGCGGACUUUUAAGCGUGAGGUGAAAUGCCACAGCUCAACUGUGGAACUGCCUCGCGAACUGGGAGUCUGGAAUGUCCGUGCCGUGGGAGGAAUGUGUGGUGUAGCGGUGAAAUGCAUAGAGAUCACACAGAACACCGAUUGCGAAGGCAUCUCACGAACGGAUGAUUGACGCUGAGGCACGAAAGCGUGGGGAU
rnacentral:rRNA from 1 species